AGGAGGAACAACCGCAGUGGCGGCGCCAGCUCUGCAGCCCUGGAGUCAGCUCCUGCAGUAGCUCCAGAGCUCUCCGUCUCCAGGGCCUGGAGGCUCCAGGGCAGG
rfam:Canis lupus familiaris chromosome 32, whole genome shotgun sequence.